UACCUGAUGCACCCAAGCAGAUGGGAGGUGUGGAAGGUGUGCUGAGAGCCUGAGGGUUGACAACUCUGGAGGAGGGAGACAAACUAAUCAAUUACUCUGAGUCACGAGAUGGGGAGGGCAUGGAAUAAUUGGCUGGAAAACUGCCCCUCCGCAUAUCUCUGCAACUAAGAGAAAGACAUUUACAAGCAAUCUGCUGGAGCUACAAAGAAGGGAAAUUCUGACAGAGAAAAUGGAAAAUCACAGUACCGUAUCCAUUACUGUUCAUGUAAAUGUGUGCAAAAUGCCA